UACGUAGGGUGCGAGCGUUAAUCGGAAUUACUGGGCGUAAAGCGUGCGUAGGUGGUUCGUUAAGUCUGAUGUGAAAGCCCUGGGCUCAACCUGGGAAUGGCAUUGGAUACUGGCGACCUAGAGUGCGGUAGAGGGUGGCGGAAUUCCCGGUGUAGCAGUGAAAUGCGUAGAUAUCGGGAGGAACACCAGUGGCGAAGGCGGCUUGCUGGGCCGGACCUGACGCUGAGACGCGAAGGCGUGGGAGGCGAAC
rnacentral:rRNA from 1 species